rnacentral:rRNA from 1 species
CCUACGGGCGGCAGCAGUAGGGAAUAUUGCUCAAUGGGGGAAACCCUGAAGCAGCAACGCCGCGUGGAGGAUGAAGGUUUUCGGAUUGUAAACUCCUUUUGUUAGAGAAGAUAAUGACGGUAUCUAACGAAUAAGCACCGGCUAACUCCGUGCCAGCAGCCGCGGUAAUACGGAGGGUGCAAGCGUUACUCGGAAUCACUGGGCGUAAGGAGCGCGUAGGAGGGAUAGCAAGUCAGAUGUGAAAUCCUAUGGCUUAACCAUAGAACUGCAUUUGAGACUGUUAUUCUAGAGUAUGGGAGAGGUAGGUGGAAUUCUUGGUGUAGGGGUAAAAUCCGUAGAGAUCAAGAGGAAUACUCAUUGCGAAGGCGACCUGCUAGAACAUAACUGACGCUGAUGCGCGAAAGCGUGGGGAGCAAACAGGAUUAGAUACCCGAGUAGUC